ACGAACGCUGGCGGCGUGCUUUACACAUGCAAGUCGAACGAUGAUGGGGUGCUUGCAUCCCUGAUUAGUGGCGAACGGGUGAGUAACACGUGAGUAACCUGCCCCAGACUCUGGGAUAACUCCGGGAAACCGGGGCUAAUACUGGAUAUCAUUUCUGCCUGCCUGGGUGGUUGUUGAAAGGGUUUCUGGUCUGGGAUGGGCUCGCGGCCUAUCAGCUUGUUGGUGGGGUGAUGGCCUACCAAGGCGAUGACGGGUAGCCGGCCUGAGAGGGGGACCGGCCACACUGGGACUGAGACACGGCCCAGACUCCUACGGGAGGCAGCAGUGGGGAAUAGUGCACAAUGGGCGAAAGCCUGAUGCAGCGACGCCGCGUGAGGGAUGACGGCCGUCGGGUUGUAAACCUCUGUCAGUAGGGAAGAAGCCGCUUGCGGUGACGGUACCUGCAGAAGAAGCGCCGGCUAACUACGU
rnacentral:rRNA from 1 species